UUCUAUUCAGUGAUCAGCACUGAACACAGAGGACUCACCAUGGAGUUUGGGCUGAGCUGGGUUUUCCUUGUUGCUAUUUUUAAAGGUGUCCAGUGUGAGGUGCAGCUGGUGGAGUUUGGGGGAGGCUUGGUUCAGCCUUGGGUGUCCCUGAGGCUCUCCUGUGCAGUCUCUAGAUUCACCUUCAGUAACUACUGGAUGUACUGGCUCUGCCAGGCUCCGGGGAAGGGGCUGGAGUGGAUUGGAGAAAUUAAUCCUGAUGGGGGUAGAACAAACUACAAAGACUCCGUGAAUGGCCAAUUCACCAUCUCCAGAGACAACUCCAAGAACACGUUUUAUCUGCAAAUGAACAGCCUUAAAACCGAGGACACAGCCGUCCAUUAA